rnacentral:rRNA from 1 species
UCGGGAAUUUUGGGCAAUGGGCGAAAGCCUGACCCAGCAACGCCGCGUGAAGGAUGAAAUCCCUCGGGAUGUAAACUUCGCAAGAACGGGAAGAAUAAGCCGGUAUUAACACCACCGGUGAUGACGGUACUGUUUGUAAGCUCCGGCUAACUCCGUG